rnacentral:lncRNA from 1 species
CCUCCGUGUCGAGUCCCUGUGCUGGCCACGCCCGCCGCCUGCCCAGCACCGCUCUCCCGUUGCCUUAAACAAUCCAGCUCCACCACUAAUCCAUGCCCCUGCCCCGCGACUGAAGAGGAUCAGGUGACAAAUGCAACAAUUUAUUUGAACCAAAUGUGAUUUUUCAAUGGUAAAUGUAGGAUAGUGCCAAUGUUUAUUCUACCUGUGUAUCAUCUUCUGUUUACUUUGACACGUCUAUUGCACAAUAUCCCAUUUCUGAAUAUUAUAUCUCGAUUUCACAUGCAGUUCAUAUAUUGCAUUGUAAUAACACUUUAUUUCUAACUUAUAAAUCGGAAUGUAACAGGUUCGUUGUUAAUCUGUGACAUUCAUUCUAUAUUAAAUAUGAUAUAUCAACUUCAGACAAAGAAGUUCAACCUCCCACCUUAUUUACUUGUUAACGUAUUUUAAUCAAGCUAUCUUAAGUGACUUGUUCCGGCGAGGGUCAAGAACUAUCCUGGACAAUGUCAAAUAUAUAUAGCAAUGCAUGUUUGCCCUAUUCACAUGGAGUAAAAUUUUGCAUAGCAUUACAGUUAUGUUGGAUCCUUCUGAAUUUCAUAGAAGCACAAGCUGCUAGCAUAGCGGUGUGCAGGGGGAGGCCUUGAGCAGACAGGUGACUGCGUUGCUGGGGCGGAUAUGAGGCACAUCUGCAGGCGGCAGACUGUAGGCAAGAGGUACAUGGCAGUGUGGCGAGAUGGUCGGUGGCUUGCUGCUGUUGCGAGUGGGCUACCUACAAGAUGGACAGGAAGAAUAUGGUGCAAGCAAUGGCAAAGGGGAAGGCAGGGAGUGGUAAAGUGAAAGGUAUAUUUCCUUUUGAAUUUCUAUAUUUGUGUACGUUGGCAGGGGAAAACGAUAAAGUGCAACUCUGAUUUUUAUUCCUGUCAGACUUUCAGACUAUGCACACUAGAGUGAUAUUAGUGGUCUUUUCAUGCUGUAAAUUGCAGAUUUGACUAGACACAUCGGCUUAAUUUUUUAUUAUGAUCUUAGUAGUAUUUUCAUGCUGUAAAUUUCAGAUUUGACAAGAUACUUUGGCUUAGUAUACGAGAUAUAGAUGCUCCACACAACAUGUGUAUGGUUGCAUAACUCUUGGCUCUCCUAAAUCAGCCUUCGAUCACAUGAAGGUAUACCUUGGUGCAGGGUAUGUACAUAAACUAGGUGCAAACGUGUAAUCUAUAUGUACUCUUUUCAAUGGCAAUUUGAUAUUUGGCUUUCCAAACUAACCUUGCAAUUUAGUUAGAAACAAUAAAGUUCUUCAGAAAUCCCUUGAAACAUUCUCAAGCAAAAGCAAAUGAAGGGCAUACCAGUUCCUUUUUAAUACGAGCCUCAAACUUGUUGUAUUUUGAAAUCUGAAUAUGUUCCUGUUGUUGCAUCAUUUAGCUAUUCUUUGUUACCUCAUCUAGUAAUGUUUCUUUCGUGGUUUCGCUGAAUUAACAAAAUAGUUUUUAUAGCUUAUUUGUGCAGGUAUAUGCUAAGAUUGUGUGGGCAAUAUGUCUCUUUCAUACUGCUUAUUAAAAUUUGAUGGAUUAUGGUUGGAAUGUGAUGCUUAUCUGCUCAUUUUAUUUUUUUUACAGUUUGUGAUAAGAUCGGAUUUGAGGUGUAUUUAUAACGAUCACAUAAAUGAAAGGCUACAGGAAGAUUUUGGAAAUGGCAAUGGUGUCAACAAAGACAUGAGACAAGAGGUAAACACUCUUCUAUAUGUUACCCUCUACUAUUAGAUUGUACUGUUGAAAUUGAUUUUGCGACCUAAAUAUGGUGAGUAGAAUUUUACUUUAUAUUUGUUUGAUUACAUGUGUUGCACACUGGUUUAUAUGUAUUGCCUCCCCUAUCCAUCUGGGCGAAGAGUUCCGACUUUUGAGAGCGGACAUUGUGCAAAAGUUUGUUCUUUCAUGCUUGCCAUUCAUCCCCGACAGUUGUGACAGGGAUUGCAAUAUUGUAGAUCAGUACAUACGCGAGAGCUGUAUGACAACUUCAUUAUGAAUUGGUCACCUCGAAAUUUGACAAGCUGUUGAGAUAUGUGUAGUAAUUUGUGUAUGCAUUACAGCUUGGACUGGCGGCAUGGACUGAAAAAUCGUCCCAACCAUCUUGGAGACACCCAGGCAGGUGUUGCGAGCUGUGAUGCCCGAGGCACCCGCCGAGAAAAUGGGGUUCGACAUGAUGAUCAAGGAUGCGCAGGGUAUGCUCUUCUAAUUAGUUUGAUGAUUUCCACAUGUAGUAAUGCUACUCUGAAUGUUUUUGCAUAACAAUCUAAAGAUUUUGUAUUGAAACCUUCGUGGUGGUUCUUUCAGUUAAGUUGAGCGGUAGACGUAGUGAUUCUGGUGUGAAGUUUCCCAAAUGCAUUUUCUAAUAGAAAAUUUCUUUUUCCAGAUAUAGACUCUUUUUGCUAAUAAAUAGGCCAAUCUGGAUUCAAAGUUAAAUAAAAUUUGUGGACUUCUGUUGAUAGAUGGAAUUACACACUGAUGGACUGUGGGUUUCUAUUUUUCUUAUAGAAACAGAGAAACCGAAUAUCAUGUUUGCAAGACGGUUAUCAUAUAUUCUAAUUCAGACACAAGUGAUGAUACAACAACGCUCUUCGCCAAAUUCCAAUUCAGUCGAGCGUAUCUUAGCUUGGGAGCAUGCCCGUGCAACAGUUUUUGUCAUCUUCAUGCCCCAUAUAAGUUGCUUCUGUCAUGCAUAGAAGACAAAGACGCCACCGAGAGCAGCGACACGCAUAGUGAGGUCAUUGCCCGUCACGAUUUUUCUUUGAGCUGCCUGGAGACUUGCUUUCAACAGCUAGGAGACAUCCAGUGUUGGUGUAUUCUCCCUUCAUUGCCCUGUUUUUUCAGUGAAAAUCUGAACAUAUGUAGUUGAUUUCCAAUAUUCGAUCGGCCUGCAAUAUUUUUUGACUUAGUUCUUUGUACAUAGUAUGAGCUUGAAUAUUGAAUAAGCAGAUCUAUUAAAUAUAUGAAUAGAAUUUUGUGCAUUAGUUUGUAUGUGCAUUUGCACACAUGCAUAUGAUUAUUCAGGUCAGAUUUGUUACGUGCUCUGUUUGCCACCAAAGUUUGGUGCACCUUCGUAUUUUCAGAUUAUGAUUUGAAGUAUUUUUUGAAUAGUCCUAUUUGUAUUUGGUGGAUUGUAUCUAUAUACUAUAUUAACAGGAGAUGUAACCUCAUUUAUUUUCACAUUAAUAAUAAGUGCCUCUUCAGUAUAUCAAAACAGUCUUUCUCUAUGGGGAGCCUGCAGUUUGUGAUGUUCGUAAUUUUUCUUUGGGCAAAUACACUACAGAAAAAACAUUCUAU